CCGAACGACCGCAGCAGGGUCACAAGGGAGAUGUCCGCCCCCAGUCGUAGCCUCGGACGGUUUCUGAGCGUUGGUGUUUGGCACGCGCCACCCUCUCUUGCUUUGGUUCCGCCAUGCCGAUGUACCAGGUAAAACCUUAUCACGGGCGCGGCGCGCCUCUCCGUGUGGAGCUUCCCACCUGCAUGUACCGGCUCUCUAACGUGCAAGGCAGGAGCGGCGGCCCAGCGCCCGGCGUUGGCCACCUACAGUCUUUGGUAGAUGAGUGGCUGGAUAGCUACAAGCAAGACCAGGAUGCAGGAUUUCUGGAGCUUGUUAACUUUUUCAUCUGAUCUUGUGGAUGUAAAGGCACUGUGAGCCCUGAGAUGUUCAAGAAGAUGUCCAACUCAGAGAUCAUCCAGCACCUAACAGAGCGUUUAAUGAGGACUCGGGGGACUAUCCUCUGACAGCUCCAGGUCUAUCCUGGAAGAAGUUCCAGGGCAGCUUCUGUGAGUUUGUGGGGACAUUGGUCUGUCGGUGCCAGUACAUCCUCCUCCAUGAUGACUUCCCUAUGGACAACCUCAUCUCCCUGCUCACUGGCUUCUCAGACUCACAAGUCUGCGCCUUCUGUCACACUAGCACCCUGGCUGCUAUGAAACUGAUGACCUCCCUGGUAAGAGUUGCCCUCCAACUGAGUCUGCACGAAGAUAUCAAUCAGCGUCAGUAUGAGGCUGAAAGAAACAAGGGGCCAGGGCAGAGGGCACCUGAGCGGCUGGAGAGCCUGUUGGAGAAACACAAAGAGCUGCAUUAAUACUACAUUGUCAAAGACAAAGACGAACAUGAGACAUGCGAUAUGAGUUUUAAAAGGAGAGAAGAGCAAAAAAACAAUACAGCUAUCCAAGGAGCAAGUGCUGAGCUUGUGAAAAAACAGCUUCUAUUUUAUUAAAUAAUAGUGUUCCUGCAGGGAUGUCUGAAGUACUCUGCAAGGCUAAUUAGGACAGAUCAAUGUACACUUACCUCUCCAGAAGGCUGAAAGGUGUGUAGUGACUAUGUGUCAUUAAAAAUUUACUUGACCAUGGGCAACAGAUGUCCAUGAAAGAAUGACCCUGGUGAGUGCUCUAAGUUUUCAUUUUACUCAUGUCAUCCUCAAUGCAUCAUAAAUGCCAUAGACACCAUUACUAUCACGUAGGCUCAUAGCAGCUGAUGUGCUGUAUAUGCUUGAGAGGGUGGUAUCAAUUAACUAUAUUAUCUAUAAAGCCAUACUUGCAAUUACUACCACUUCACAAUUUAUCAUUAACGCAUUUGGCAGAUUUUUUUUUCUCCAAAGUAACAUUUAUUUAAAGGUUUAUCAAAAUUCUUAGAACAGCAUUUAUUAUAAUGUGAUUUUUGAUAAUUGACUAAAUCAGUGGCUCUUAAAAACACCCUCAUCUCAGUCCCGCUCAGUAUACACCACAGUGCCAUUUGGGGAAAAGAAAUACAUAUUAGAAAUGUUCAUUUCAGACCUCGUCAUGGAAGAUCAUAUAUUAAUGUAAUCAGGUGGUACGUUUACAUGCUCAUUAGUAAUCCAUCAUUAGUCCAAAUGCUCACUAUUAGGAAUAAAUGUACAACGAGUUAUUCAGAAUACCCAGAAAGAGUAUUUCUUAUUUAAACAUUCAGGACAAGCUGACUGAAAUAAGUGCACACCUUGAAUUUGAACUUUCAAGGCACAUCACUAAAGUCAAUCAGUUAUGUCAGGACACUCUUCUAUAAUAAUCUCAAUUAUAAAAUUCCUGCCUCUCCCUAACACAGGAGUUGGAGGGAGUUCCAAUAUCUGAAUCUUUCUAAUUCACUGUAACUGCAAAAAAAUCUUGAUGAAGUGUGUAUUUAAAUUUCAUGCCUUAAUACAUAGCAUGCCACUAAAACCACAUUAGUUAUGCUUUAUGCUGCUUAAUCAUACGUCAAAAUCUGUAAAAUCUGCUCUUGCAUGCUAAGGUAAUUUAACUGCAAUUAAUCAAUUAAGAAAAAUAAAAUGUAAUAAAUGCCAAAUAAUGUAACUUCUUUUAAACAGACCACUAUCUACACAUUUAUUCCCCAAAUACUUAUUAGCUGACACCAUAUAAGGAAAACAUAAUAAAAAGUAGACUUCACUGAGCCUUUCUCCCAUUAGUAGCUUGCUCUAAACUUACAAAUGUUUUAGAGAAUUCUUUGGCAUGAUCUGACUUUCCAACUAAAAUGUGAGCAACUUGA